rnacentral:rRNA from 1 species
GAUGAACGCUGGCGGCGUGCCUAAUACAUGCAAGUCGAGCGAACGGACGAGAAGCUUGCUUUUCUGAUGUUAGCGGCGGACGGGUGAGUAACACGUGGAUAACCUACAUAUAAGACUGGGAUAACUUCGGGAAACCGGAACUAAUACCGGAUAAUAUUUUGAACCGCAUGGUUCAAAAGUGAAAGACGGUCUUGCUGUCACUUAUAGAUGGAUCCGCGCUGCAUUAGCUAGUUGGUAAGGUAACGGCUUACCAAGGCAACGAUGCAUAGCCGACCUGAGAGGGUGAUCGGCCACACUGGAACUGAGACACGGUCCAGACUCCUACGGGAGGCAGCAGUAGGGAAUCUUCCGCAAUGGGCGAAAGCCUGACGGAGCAACGCCGCGUGAGUGAUGAAGGUCUUCGGAUCGUAAAACUCUGUUAUGAGGGAAGAACAUAUGUGUAAGUAACUGUGCACAUCUUGACGGUACCUAAUCAGAAAGCCACGGCUAACUACGUG